AGCGAACGCUGGCGGCAGGCCUAACACAUGCAAGUCGAACGAACUCUUCGGAGUUAGUGGCGGACGGGUGAGUAACACGUGGGAACGUGCCUUUAGGUUCGGAAUAACUCAGGGAAACUUGUGCUAAUACCGAAUGUGCCCUUCGGGGGAAAGAUUUAUCGCCUUUAGAGCGGCCCGCGUCUGAUUAGCUAGUUGGUGAGGUAAAGGCUCACCAAGGCGACGAUCAGUAGCUGGUCUGAGAGGAUGAUCAGCCACAUUGGGACUGAGACACGGCACAAACUCCUACGGGAGGCAGCAGUGGGGAAUCUUGCGCAAUGGGCGAAAGCCUGACGCAGCCAUGCCGCGUGAAUGAUGAAGGUCUUAGGAUUGUAAAAUUCUUUCACCGGGGACGAUAAUGACGGUACCCGGAGAAGAAGCCCCGGCUAACUUCGUACCAGCAGCCGCCGUAA
rnacentral:rRNA from 1 species